AAGAAAAGCAUGCUAUAUCUAUCAACGAAGACUUUGUUGUAACUGUUGAGUGCUUGACAACUCCAUCACAGCUCAAAAAUUGAAAAGAGUAUUGGAAUAGUAGAGCAGACUAGCAAUGAACAUCAGUAUUCAACAGAUGACCGCGAUGAGAUGCUAAUUAACAUAAUACAAACAAAGCCAGCAUUGUGGAAUUUUCAAAUUCCACUUAGUGAACGGACAAAGGCAAAAAAGAAAGCACUAUGGAAAGAAGUUCAAAAUAUGUUAGGAGGGCUUAUGACUAUGGAUGAGGCAAUGAAAAGAUGGAAAUAUCUAAGAGAUUGUUAUGUGCGUUACAAACGGCAAAUAAAAGCAUAUGUGCCAAGUGGAUCUGCUGCA